CGUUCUACAGAAUAUUCUUAAGUUAAAAGCAAGUCUCGCACUGUUUCUAGUACGAUAUCUUGAGAGAACGCUAACAGCAAUCAAUUCAAGAUGCAGAAAGCAGUUUUACUCCUGUUGAUUAUUGGAUUUGCUCUCAUGACCACUGAUGCUGUGGUCAGACCUCGAGGGGGGUACUAUCGCAAUGGGUGGAUUUGGGGAAAAUACAAGAAACAUCGCGUAAUUGUAAACGUUCAGGGUGAGGAACAAGUAGAAACUCCGGAUGAAAGCGAAAAAGCAGACCAGGAUGAAAACUUGAUGUUUAAUUACUGAGAAGAAAUCUACCGGAAUUCAACCAAAAAUAUACACAAGAAUACAUUUUACACGCCUUUGGGUUUAACUACAUAGUGUCAAAUAUACUUGGCUGCGUAAAAAUUGUGUAAUUUAUGUAUUACUGCAAAGGGCCCCAACCUUUUUUGCGGGCAACCCAAUUUUUUUCAAAACUUAAACUCAAGGAUAUGCCCACAUACUAAAAGUCGUGUAGUGAUUUUAUGGCCGCAAAAUUAAAUGACUAAUAUAUAUAAAACAAUAAAUUUCAUGUGACAUUUGUUUCCCAGAAACUACCGCAAGUGUGCGCAUGUUUGCAAUCGGAGAGUUUUUGAAAUCGUGGCGUGGGUUCGCUGAAGCAAAAUAGAUGCUGUCAAGUUUUUAUGCUAUGAUUCUAACCACAUAUACAAUCUAAUAUUAAGCAACACUUCAAUACCAAAUAUAAAAUAAAAUAUACUAGCAAAUAAAA